rnacentral:rRNA from 1 species
AUUGAACGCUGGCGGCAGGCCUAACACAUGCAAGUCGAGCGAGUGGCGGACGGGUGAGUAAUGUCUGGGAAACUGCCUGAUGGAGGGGGAUAACUACUGGAAACGGUAGCUAAUACCGCAUACUAUCGGAUGUGCCCAGAUGGGAUUAGCUAGUAGGUGGGGUAAAGGCUCACCUAGGCGACGAUCCCUAGCUGGUCUGAGAGGAUGAUCAGCCAAACGGGAACUGAGACACGGUCCAGACUCCUACGGGAGGCAGCAGUGGGGAAUAUUGCACAAUGGGCGCAAGCCUGAUGCAGCCAUGCCGCGUGUGUGAAGAAGGCCUUCGGGUUGUAAAGCACUUUCAGCGAGGAGGCGUUACUCGCAGAAGAAGCACCGGCUAACUCCGUGCCAGCAGCCGCGGUAAUUC